UCAAACUUGGUCAUUUAGAGGAAGUAAAAGUCGUAACAAGGUUUCCGUAGGUGAACCUGCGGAAGGAUCAUUAGUGAAUAAACUUGUGUGGGUUGUUGCUGGCCUUUUCGGAGGCAUGUGCACGCUCGCCAUUGUUUCAUUCCCCCUUCCACCUGUGCACUUUCUGUAGACCAGGCUGUCACCCUUCAGUGGUGCUCUACACCUCUGGCAUGAGGACUUGCUCUGGCUGUCCUUGGAUGGUCCUGGUCUAUGUCUUUAUCAACUCUUAUUGUAUGGUACAGAACGUUAAUCUGGGUUCUAUAUGGCCCAUAAAAUCCUAUACAACUUUCAACAACGGAUCUCUUGGCUCUCGCAUCGAUGAAGAACGCAGC
rnacentral:misc_RNA from 1 species